AUGGGGUUUUCUGGGACUUUAUGGGGUCCCUAUGGGAUUUUAUGGGAUUUUAUGGGGUCCCUAUGGGACUUUAUAGGGUUUUUUGGGAUUUUAUGGGGUCCCUAUGGGUUUCUAUGGGGUCCCUAUGGGACUUUAUGGGGUUUUAUGGGAUUUUAUGGGGUCUCUAUGGGAUUUAUGGGAUUUUAUGGGACUUUAUGGGGUGCCUAUGGGACUUUNNNNNNNNUUCUGGGAUUCCUAUGGGGUUUUCUGGGACUUUAUGGGAUCCCUAUGGGAUUUUAUGGGGUUUUUAUGGGACUUUAUGGGGUCCCUAUGGGAUCAUUAUGGGGUUUUAUGGGACUUUAUGGGGUUUUAUGGGAUUUAUGGGACUUUAUGGGACUUUAUGGGGUCCCUAUGGGACUUUAUGGGGUUUUAUGGGAUUUAUGGGGUUUUCUGGGACUUUAUGGGGUUUUUAUGGGACUUUAUAGGUUUCAUGGGGUCCCUAUGGGUUCUUAUGGGACUUUAUGGGGUUUUCUGGGACUUUAUGGGGUUUUAUGGGACUUUAUGGGGUCCCUAUGGGACUUUAUGGGGUUUUAUGGGAUUUAUGGGGUUUUCUGGGACUUUAUGGGGUUUUAUGGGACUUUAUGGGGUCCCUAUGGGACUUUAUGGGGUUCUAUGGGGUCCCUAUGGGAUCAUUAUGGGGUUUUAUGGGAUUUACGGGGUUUUAUGGGACUUUAUGGGGUCCCUAUGGGGUUCUAUGGGGUUUCUAUGGAGUCCCUAUGGGACUUUAUGGGGUUUUAUGGGGUCCCUAUGGGAUCAUUAUGGGGUUUUCUGGGACUUUAUGGGAUUUUAUGGGAUUUUAUGGGUACCCUAUGGGGUCCCUAUGGGACUUUAUGGGGUUUUUAUGGGACUUUAUGGGGUUUCAUGGGGUCCCUAUGGGGUUUUAUGGGGUUUUCUGGGGUCCCUAUGGGGUUUUUAUGGGAUUUAUGGGGUCCCUAUGGGUUUCUAUGGGGUCCCUAUGGGGUUUAUGGGGUCCCUAUGGGUUUCUAUGGGGUCCCUAUGGGAUUUAUGGGGUCCCUAUGGGGUUUUUAUGGGGUUUAUGGGGUCCCUAUGAGGUUUUUAUGGGGUUUAUGGGUUUCUAUGGGGUUUAUGGGGUCCCUAUGGGGUCCCUAUGGGUUUCUAUGGGGUCCCUAUGGGGUUUUUAUGGGGUUUAUGGGGUCCCUCUGUGUUUCUAUGGGGUUUCAGGGCUCCCUACCAGCGCAGGUCCCUGAGCAGCCCCCACAUCUCGGCAGCCAUCUUGGCUGGGCUGAGCGCCCGCAGGGUUUCCUCCCACGUGACCUUGGCUCCGCCCCUCAGCCGAAGCUCCGCCCCCAGCAGCCGCAGCAGCUGCGCCUCCUCCAAUCCUGGGCCGGGAUGCAAAUUUUAUGUUAA
rnacentral:lncRNA from 1 species